rnacentral:rRNA from 1 species
GACGAACGCUGGCGGCGUGCCUAAUACAUGCAAGUAGAACGCUGAAGCGAGGAGCUUGCUCUUCUUGGAUGAGUUGCGAACGGGUGAGUAACGCGUAGGUAACCUGCCUGGUAGCGGGGGAUAACUAUUGGAAACGAUAGCUAAUACCGCAUAAUAGUAGAUGUUGCAUGACAUUUGCUUAAAAGGUGCAAUUGCAUCACUACCAGAUGGACCUGCGUUGUAUUAGCUAGUUGGUGAGGUAACGGCUCACCAAGGCAACGAUACAUAGCCGACCUGAGAGGGUGAUCGGCCACACUGGGACUGAGACACGGCCCAGACUCCUACGGGAGGCAGCAGUAGGGAAUCUUCGGCAAUGGACGGAAGUCUGACCGAGCAACGCCGCGUGAGUGAAGAAGGUUUUCGGAUCGUAAAGCUCUGUUGUAAGAGAAGAACGAGUGUGAGAGUGGAAAGUUCACACUGUGACGGUAUCUUACCAGAAAGGGACGGCUAACUACGUG